rnacentral:lncRNA from 1 species
CAGACUAUCUAGAAAAUGUUGCUCAGCAAGGAAGAAAAUUAAAAUCGUCUGGAGCCUUAUGCCCCCAGCCAUAAAUAAAGGAUAAUGGAGACUUCUGUUGAUGUAUAAACAUCUCAAAAAGAUGUUUCUGCUACUUAAUUAUUUAUAUCAAUGAAAUAGGCUCAGCUGACUGAAAUGUGCAUUCAGCCAUUCAUAUUUUCAGCUUAUAAUAGUCAGUGAGCACACCAAGAAAGAGGAUUAAAACAUAGCUAAACAAUUUAUUACCUUCCAUAUCUGCUGAAUGAUGCCAAAUAUUGAUGCCAAAGUAUUUCUAUAACUUUGGUGAAAGGAGAAAGCAUUUAUGGUGAGGAGAAAAACAGCUGGUAUCACACUCUACCCAAGUCCCAAAAGCAGGUUCAUAUAACUCCUGUCUUCAUUAUCUGAUAUCUGGUGAGUCACUGAAUUCCUUCAGAAGGCUUUAUGGUUAAUUGUGUCAUAUGCGUAGAUGUCAAAGAUCAUGAAUACUGGCAGAGUCUUGGUUUUGGUGUUAUGCAGGCCUCUGCGGAUCUAUGAAAGACUAGUCCAGUGCCUUGAGCCUUAUUAACAAAUGGCUGGUGAAGACUUUAACAGAAGUGACAGGAUUCUAAG